UACUACCGAAGCUACGGCAUCAGUAAUGAUGGGUGGGGGAGCUUCCCAUACGGGUUGAAGCAUGACCGUAAGGACAUGUGGACAGUAUGGGAGUGAGAAUGUUGGCAUGAGUAGCGAGAUGUGGGUGAGAAGCCCACAGGCCGUAAACCCAAGGUGUCCAGGGGAAGGUUCGUCCGCCCUGGGUUAGUCGGGACCUAAGCUGAGGCCGAAAGGCGUAGGUGAUGGACAACAGGUUGAUAUUCCUGUACUACCGAUAACC
rnacentral:rRNA from 1 species